AAUGGGCGCAAGCCUGACGGAGCAAUGCCGCGUGUGGGAUGAAGCAUUUCGAUGUGUAAACCACUGUCAGAAUCUAGGAACACUGACCAGAUUCAGAGGAAGGGCCGGCUAACCUCGUGCCAGCAGCCGCGGUAAGACGAGGGGCCCGAGCGUUAAUCAGAAUCACUGGGCUAAAAGCGUGCGCAGGCGGUCUGGCAAGCAUCUUGUGAAAUCCCCCGGCUCAACCGGGGAACUGCAGGGUGAACUGCCAGACUUGAGGCAGGUAGGGGCUGAUGGAACCAUGAGUGGAGCGGUGAAAUGCGUAGAUAUUCAUGGGAACGCCGAUGGGGAAGCCGAUCAGCUGGGCCUGUCCUGACGCUCAGGCACGAAAGCGUGGGGAGCAAACAGGAUU
rnacentral:rRNA from 1 species